rnacentral:rRNA from 1 species
CGGCGCACGGGUGCGUAACGCGUAUGCAAUCUACCUUAUACAGGGGAAUAGCCCAGGGAAACUUGGAUUAAUGCCCCAUAGUAUCAUUUGAAGGCAUCUGAGAAUGAUUAAAGAUUUAUCGGUAUAAGAUGAGCAUGCGUCCCAUUAGUUAGUUGGUAAGGUAACGGCUUACCAAGACAGCGAUGGGUAGGGGCCCUGAGAGGGGGAUCCCCCACACUGGUACUGAGACACGGACCAGACUCC